rnacentral:tRNA from 1 species
AAUUAUUUAGUUUAUAAAUUUUAAAAAUUUUAAUUUUGGAAAUUAAAGAUUUAAAAUUUUAUUAAUAAAUUUAGAAUUU